rnacentral:rRNA from 1 species
GUGUGAGAUGUUGGGUUUUGUCCCGCAACGAGCGCAACCCUUGCCAUUAGUUGCUACGAAAGGGCACUCUAAUGGGACUGCCGGUGACAAACCGGAGGAAGGUGGGGAUGACGUCAAGUCCUCAUGGCCCUUAUGGGUAGGGCUACACACGUCAUACAAUGGCCGGUACAGAGGGCUGCCAACCCGCGAGGGGGAGCCAAUCCCGUAAAACCGGUCGUAGUCCGGAUUGCAGUCUGCAACUCGACUGCAUGAAGUCGGAAUCGCUAGUAAUCGCGGAUCAGCAUGUCGCGGUGAAUACGUUCCCGGGUCUUGUACACACCGCCCGUCACACCAUGGGAGCGGGUUCUGCCAGAAGUAGUUAGCCUAACCGCAAGGGGGGCGAUUACCACGGCAGGGUUCGUGACUGGGGUGAAGUCGUAACAAGGUAACCG